GACGGAGGAUGCAAGUGUUAUCCGGAAUCACUGGGCGUAAAGCGUCUGUAGGUGGUCAAAUAAGUCAACUGUUAAAUCUUGAGGCUCAACCUCAAAUCGCAGUCGAAACUAUUAGACUAGAGUAUAGUAGGGGUAAAGGGAAUUUCCAGUGGAGCGGUGAAAUGCGUAGAGAUUGGAAAGAACACCGAUGGCGAAGGCACUUUACUGGGCUAUUACUAACACUCAGAGACGAAAGCUAGGGUAGCAAAUGGG
rnacentral:rRNA from 1 species